rnacentral:rRNA from 1 species
GGGGGGGGCAAGCGUUGUUCGGAAUUACUGGGCGUAAAGGGCGCGUAGGCGGCCUGCUAAGUCGGACGUGAAAUCCCUCGGCUCAACCGGGGAACUGCGUCCGAUACUGGUGGGCUCGAAUCCGGGAGAGGGAUGUGGAAUUCCAGGUGUAGCGGUGAAAUGCGUAGAUAUCUGGAGGAACACCGGUGGCGAAGGCGGCAUCCUGGACCGGUAUUGACGCUGAUGCGCGAAAGCCGGGGGAGCAAACGGGAUUAGAUACCCCGGUAGUCCUGGCCCUAAACGAUGAGUGCUUGGUGUGGCGGGUAUCGAUCCCUGCCGUGCCGAAGCGAACGCAUUAAGCACUCCGCCUGGGGAGUACGGUCGCAAGGCUG